rnacentral:rRNA from 1 species
UAAUCAGAAAGCCACGGCUAACUACGUGCCAGCAGCCGCGGUAAUACGUAGGUGGCAAGCGUUAUCCGGAAUUAUUGGGCGUAAAGCGCGCGUAGGCGGUUUUUUAAGUCUGAUGUGAAAGCCCACGGCUCAACCGUGGAGGGUCAUUGGAAACUGGAAAACUUGAGUGCAGAAGAGGAAAGUGGAAUUCCAUGUGUAGCGGUGAAAUGCGCAGAGAUAUGGAGGAACACCAGUGGCGAAGGCGACUUUCUGGUCUGUAACUGACGCUGAUGUGCGAAAGCGUGGGGAUCAAACAGGAUUAGAUACCCUGGUAGUCCACGCCGUAAACGAUGAGUGCUAAGUGUUAGGGGGUUUCCGCCCCUUAGUGCUGCAGCUAACGCAUUAAGCACUCCGCCUGGGGAGUACGACCGCAAGGUUGAAACUCAAAGGAAUUGAC